GAAAUGCGAUAAGUAAUGUGAAUUGCAGAAUUCAGUGAAUCAUCGAGUCUUUGAACGCACAUUGCGCCCCCUGGUAUUCCGGGGGGCAUGCCUGUCCGAGCGUCAUUGCUGCCCUCAAGCACGGCUUGUGUGUUGGGCCCCCGUCCCCUCUCCCGGGGACGGGCCCGAAAGGCAGCGGCGGCACCGCGUCCGGUCCUCGAGCGUAUGGGGCUUUGUCACCCGCUCUGUAGGCCCGGCCGGCGCCAGCCGACACCCAACUUUAUUUCUAAGGUUGACCUCGGAUCAGGUAGGGAUACCCGCUGAACUUAA
rnacentral:misc_RNA from 1 species